rnacentral:rRNA from 1 species
AUUGAACGCUGGCGGCAUGCCUUACACUUGCAAGUCGAACGGUAACAGGUCUUCGGAUGCUGACGAGUGGCGAACGGGUGAGUAAUACAUCGGAACGUGCCCGAUCGUGGGGGAUAACGAAGCGAAAGCUUUGCUAAUACCGCAUAAGAUCUACGGAUGAAAGCAGGGGACCGCAAGGCCUUGCGCGAACGGAGCGGCCGAUGGCAGAUUAGGUAGUUGGUGGGAUAAAAGCUUACCAAGCCGACGAUCUGUAGCUGGUCUGAGAGGACGACCAGCCACACUGGGACUGAGACACGGCCCAGACUCCUACGGGAGGCAGCAGUGGGGAAUUUUGGACAAUGGGCGAAAGCCUGAUCCAGCCAUGCCGCGUGCAGGAUGAAGGCCUUCGGGUUGUAAACUGCUUUUGUACGGAACGAAAAGACUCUGGUUAAUACCUGGGGUCCAUGACGGUACCGUAAGAAUAAGCACCGGCUAACUACGUG